CCUACGGGGGGCAGCAGUCGAGAAUUUUUCUCAAUGGGGGAAACCCUGAAGGAGCGACGCCGCGUGGGGGAUGAAUGGCUUCGGCCCGUAAACCCCUGUCAUUUGCGAUCAAACCUUACGACCUAACACGUCGUAAGCUGAUAGUAGCGGAAGAGGAAGGGACGGCUAACUCUGUGCCAGCAGCCGCGGUAAUACAGAGGUCCCAAGCGUUGUUCGGAUUCACUGGGCGUAAAGGGUGCGUAGGCGGUCGGGUAAGUCUGACGUGAAAUCUUCAAGCUCAACUUGGAAACUGCGUCGGAUACUAUUCGGCUAGAGGAAUGGAGGGGAGACUGGAAUACUUGGUGUAGCAGUGAAAUGCGUAGAUAUCAAGUGGAACACCAGUGGCGAAGGCGAGUCUCUGGACAUUUCCUGACGCUGAGGCACGAAAGCCAGGGGAGCAAACAGGAUUAGAUACCCCUGUAGUCC
rnacentral:rRNA from 1 species